GACGUAGGGGGCCAGCGUUGCUCGGAAUUACUGGGCGUAAAGGGUUCGUAGGCGGUGUGGCAAGUCGGGAGUGAAAUCUCUGGGCUUAACCCAGAGGCUGCUUCCGAAACUGCCGUGCUAGAGUGCGGGAGAGGCGAGUGGAAUUGCAGGUGUAGCGGUGAAAUGCGUAGAUAUCUGCAGGAACACCCGUGGCGAAGGCGGCUCGCUGGACCGCAACUGACGCUGAGGAACGAAAGCUAGGGGAGCAAACAGG
rnacentral:rRNA from 1 species